rfam:Salmo salar isolate Sally breed double haploid chromosome ssa06, whole genome shotgun sequence.
UGCAUUCACUACUGUAAAUCGCUCUGGAUAAGAGCUUCUGCUAAAUGACUAAAA